GAUGAACGCUGGCGGCGUGCCUAACACAUGCAAGUCGAACGGUAAGGCCCUUCGGGGUACACGAGUGGCGAACGGGUGAGUAACACGUGGGUGAUCUGCCCUGCACUUCGGGAUAAGCCUGGGAAACUGGGUCUAAUACCGGAUAGGACCACUGCCUGCAUGGGUGGUGGUGGAAAGCUUUUGCGGUGUGGGAUGGGCCCGCGGCCUAUCAGCUUGUUGGUGGGGUGAUGGCCUACCAAGGCGACGACGGGUAGCCGGCCUGAGAGGGUGACCGGCCACACUGGGACUGAGAUACGGCCCAGACUCCUACGGGGGGCAGCAGUGGGGAAUAUUGCACAAUGGGCGCAAGCCUGAUUCAGCGACGCCGCGUGAGGGAUGACGGCCUUCGGGUUGUAAACCUCUUUCAGCACCGACGAAGCGCGAGUGACGGUAGGUGCAGAAGAAGGACCGGCCAACUACGUGCCAGCAGCCGCCGUAA
rnacentral:rRNA from 1 species